GAGGGAAUCUUCCACAAUGGACGAAAGUCUGAUGGAGCAACGCCGCGUGAACGAUGAAGGCCUUCGGGUCGUAAAGUUCUGUUGUAAGGGAAGAACAAGUGCCGCAGGCAAUGGCGGCACCUUGACGGUACCUUGCGAGAAAGCCACGGCUAACUACGUGCCAGCAGCCGCGGUAAUACGUAGGUGGCAAGCGUUGUCCGGAAUUAUUGGGCGUAAAGCGCGCGCAGGCGGCCUCUUAAGUCUGAUGUGAAAGCCCCCGGCUCAACCGGGGAGGGCCAUUGGAAACUGGGAGGCUUGAGUAUAGGAGAGAAGAGUGGAAUUCCACGUGUAGCGGUGAAAUGCGUAGAGAUGUGGAGGAACACCAGUGGCGAAGGCGACUCUUUGGCCUAUAACUGACGCUGAGGCGCGAAAGCGUGGGGAGCAAACAGGAUUAGAUACCCUGGUAGUCCACGCCGUAAACGAUGAGUGCUAGGUGUUGGAGGGUUUCCGCCCUUCAGUGCUGAAGCUAACGCAUUAAGCACUCCGCCUGGGGAGUACGGUCGCGAGGCUG
rnacentral:rRNA from 1 species